AGGACAUUUCAAGCAGACUUUUCGGGGAAGCUCAGCCUACUCCUCUGGAGAGGGACUGAAUUUGUCCACGAUUUGCAAAGCUUCCAGAAAAGAAUGGCUACAAGUGCUACUGCAAUGCAAGAAAUUAUUGAUCAGACUAAGAUCAGAUUAUUGUCUUCCUCCUGAUCAAGGUAUUCCAAGAAGAUGACCUGAUGUCCAAACUGUGCCAGUUGAUGAAAUGGCUCCUUCUAAGUGAAAGGGGGUGUUUUGAAGACAUGGCUACCAUACUGAAGUUGACUUGUGGUUCCCAAAGACAAUUACCUUCUGUAAGUGCCACAACAUACCUUCAGGAAGAGAAAAUAUUAUUAAGACAAUGUGUGAAGAAAACACAAGAAUGGAUCUUGGAAUAUCAGCUUUGACCCCCUUGUCUUGGAGCACCUUCCUGAAAAUGGUCAACGUGGUUCAAUUUCCAGCUAGGACAUAAUUUGCACAAUAACCUGAAGUUGAAAUUAAUACUCAGAAACAAGCUGUACUGGGCUUAAGAAAAAUCCAUUAAGCUGUCUGCAUUAGAGGAAGAAGCUGACCAAUGGAGUUGAAGCACAUUUGUUAUACUGUAAGAAGAAAGUUUCAGACAAAUAUCACAGGAACCAGGAUGACACUCCAAUAAGACGGAAAAGUAAUUCACUGCUCCACCUUCACUGCUCUGCUCAGCGAAGACCAAGGACAAAUGGCAGGAAAACCUGGAGUGUUCUGCUGCAGGUCGGGAGCAGCCGCUAGGAGGGGCUGACUGCCUUGAAGAGAAGGUACAACCAAGCAUUGUCCAGGUGUGAAGACAAUGUCCCACAUAAGAAGGAUGUGGAACUGAUGAAGUGAGCCCACAGGAGGGCCAUGAAGCUGGUGAAGAGAAUGAUCUGACCCCUGCCAGUGCCUGAAGAGGGUCUAUGAGAAAGCUGGAGAGAUCAGAGUUCCAAUAUGUCCAUGCUCUUGAAAGGGAAGCACCUAAUACACAGCUCAUUUAUCAAGGCAAAAGUGUUUAACUAUGACCCUAAGCACAUGCUGCUGCUUGUUAGUUUAACUGAAGCUACACAAACAUGAUAAAAGAGAGCACAGAAGAGAACACAUACCCUGUGUUAAUGAGUACCUGAGGCUGGGCUGGAGAUUCCAGAUGAGAACAAACAUUCUUCAGUGGAUGAAGCUGCUGAAGUUUCCUACCAUAAUCUCUGACUGCAGCAAUAUUGCAACACCUAAUUUCAAAACAACCAUGCUUAAUAUCUUUAUUUUCAAGGAUUUUGAAUGAUAUUUCUAGAUUUGACAAAUUUAGCCUGUGAAAUACUAACUAUUCUUAUGGGAACAUGUGAAGGAAUGUUUGGGUGCACAUUUAUAGCAAGGAGCUUUAUUUUGUAACAAUUUUGUGCUGAUGAAGUACCUCUAUAGAACCUUAAAGAGAGAGUAUAAAUAUGAGCAGACUAAGAAUCAAGGGUUACUAGUGCACCAUCCUUGUUUAAUCUUCUUUGCAAAGUGAGGUGAGUGAUACUUGGUUGUUCUUAAGAAUACCACGAAAAGCCUCAGGCAGUGAGAUUAUUUGUGAUGCAGGAAAAUUUAAGGAAACUAUAUGGAUAAAUGAGCAACUAAAAAAAAGUGAAACUAGAACUUGAGUUCUUUCAGUUGUUCAGAAUUCACGUGGAGACAGUGAGACUAAGGCCUGUUUCAUUUUUUUUGAGUUUUAAUUGUCCAAUACUGAAGAGCAAGAAUUUUUUCAAUGUGCAGUUGGUGUUAGAGGGUAUUUGAAAGAGAAUUCACCCUCUACAAGGUGUGCUCUCCAAUACCAAACAGCUAACAAUGUUGAUCUGAGAAUAGUUUUCUAAAAUGAGGGCCAAACCACCAUUUCAGGCCAACACUUCCAAGCAACUUGGAGAUUUUCCAUGAAGAUAAGACAGGCAUUGGCUCUAUUCUCUUUUUCUUCCCUCUGCCCCCAGCCAGCUUUACAACAUUCUCCAAGUCUCUUACUCUAUAAAGAAUGUAGGUAUACUGUGUCUCAAAUGCAUAUUUUAUACAUUUGUUUAAGAUCUAGCCAUUACAUUUCCUCAUCUUUAGACUUUAAAAUUAGAUUAAAAUCCUUAGAAAAAUUCUUUUGCUACAACUUAA